AACUUUUAACAACGGAUCUCUUGGUUCUGGCAUCGAUGAAGAACGCAGCGAAAUGAGAUAAGUAAUGUGAAUUGCAGAAUUCAGUGAAUCAUCGAAUCUUUGAACGCACAUUGCGCCCCUCGGUAUUCCGGGGGGCAUGCCUGUUCGAGCGUCAUUACAACCCUCAAGCUUUGCUUGGUGUUGGGCGUCACCAGUCUUGGUGUGCUCUAAAAUCAGUGGCGGCGCCAUCUGGCUCUAAGCGUAGUACAUGCUCUCGCUAUAGAUGCCCGGUAGAUGCUUGCCAGCAACCUCUAAUCUAUCAAGGUUGACCUCGGAUCAGGUAGGGAUACCCGCUGAACUUAAGCAUAUCAAUAAGCGGAGGCU
rnacentral:misc_RNA from 1 species